rnacentral:rRNA from 1 species
UACGUAGGGUGCGAGCGUUAAUCGGAAUUACUGGGCGUAAAGCGGGCGCAGACGGUUCGUUAAGCAAGAUGUGAAAUCCCCGGGCUCAACCUGGGAACUGCGUUUUGAACUGGCGGACUAGAGUGUGUCAGAGGGGGGUAGAAUUCCACGUGUAGCAGUGAAAUGCGUAGAGAUGUGGAGGAAUACCGAUGGCGAAGGCAGCCCCCUGGGAUAACACUGACGUUCAUGCCCGAAAGCGUGGGUAGCAAACAGG